GCGGCAGGGUCCGGUCGUGCCGCCGCUGCCGGGAGGUGCCGGGAGCCUGAUCCAGAGUGUGGAUUAUGGCCAAACUGUUUGCUGUGUUUCUGCCUGCAUGUGUGGACUCUGUGGUGUUGGAUCCAGCCUGUCUCUGCUUGGGAUGCUUGGACCCAUCCAGAUCUUUGCACUCAAAGAUUUUGGUCUCUCUUCAACAAGUUCAAACACAAGAACACUGAGUGCCCAGACGUGAUGUCCUGACUCCAGAGCAGGGAGUGAAGGAAUCGGGGACACCGUACCGGUGUGAAAUUCCUCACAGCUCUCCCUUUGGCUGCCUCCUCUCUCGGUUUGGGGUGGGGACAGCAGCAAGACCCUGGGGAAGCUUCGCUGGUCCCAUCUAAAGA